rnacentral:rRNA from 1 species
CCUACGGGUGGCAGCAGUGAGGAAUAUUGGUCAAUGGACGCAAGCCUGAACCAGCCAUGCCGCGUGCAGGAAGACGGCCCUAUGAGUUGUAAACUGCUUUUGUACGAGGGUAAAGCCCGGUACGUGUAUUGGGUUGAAAGUACCUUACGAAUAAGGAUCGGCUAACUCCGUGCCAGCAGCCGCGGUAAUACGGAGGAUUCAAGCGUUAUCCGGAUUUAUUGGGUUUAAAGGGGGCGUAGGCGGUUCGUUAAGUCAGAUGUGAAAUCCCGGGGCUCAACUCCGACAUUGCCUUUGAUACUGUCGGGCUAGAGUAUAGUAGCGGUAGGCGGAAUGUAUGGGGUAGCGGUGAAAUGCAUAGAGAUCAUACAGAACACCGAUUGCGAAGGCAGCUUACCAAACUGCGACUGACGUUGAGGCACGAAAGCGUGGGGAGCAAACAGGAUUAGAUACCCGAGUAGUC